rnacentral:rRNA from 1 species
CCUACGGGAGGCAGCAGUGAGGAAUAUUGGUCAAUGGGCGAGAGCCUGAACCAGCCAAGUCGCGUGAGGGAGUACUGCCCUAUGGGUUGUAAACCUCUUUUGUCGGGGAGCAAAAGCCGGACGUUUCCGGCUGUGAGAGUACCCGAAGAAAAAGGAUCGGCUAACGCCGUGCCAGCAGCCGCGGUAAUACGGAGGAUGCGAGCGUUAUCCGGAUUUAUUGGGUUUAAAGGGGGCGCAGGCGGAUGUUUAAGUCAGCGGUAAAAUCGUGGGGCUCAACCCCAUCGAGCCGUUGAAACUGGGGAUCUAGAGUGUGCGAGAGGUAUGCGGAAUGCGUGGUGUAGCGGUGAAAUGCAUAGAUAUCACGCAGAACCCCGAUUGCGAAGGCAGCAUACCGGUGCACAACUGACGCUCAGGCACGAAAGCGUGGGUAUCGAACAGGAUUAGAUACCCGGGUAGUC